UUUUAUUUUCAGUUUUGGGCUUGAAUUUUCUUUUUAUGAAAGUUCAGCUUAAGCGUAUUUGUAUUUAUGUUUCCCUCGGCCAUCUCUGGGCCGUGUUCGUGACAGGAACCAAUCUACAAAAAACUGAACUUCGUCGUCUUCUUAUUUACCCUAGAAACCACAUCAGUAUGAAUCUGCCACUGUAACGCCGAUGGUCAUCAAUGCCACUUUAUAGUUAAGAUUAACAUUUACGAUCCCAAAUCCACGUCCCACUGCUUAACCUUAAUUACUCCAAUCCCUUUUCCUUCACAUUCUCUAAUUUGCUCCUAUAUAUAAGCAUCUAGGCAUCGACAAGCCUCAUCACUCAAACCGCUCCUUAGUGUUUGAUGGGCACACCAUGCUCUUCACCAGAAAUCAGAGAGGUUGGGUAUGGAGUGUAGGGUCAUCAUCGCUACAAACAUCAAUCCCAGAUUCGUAGCAGAUAUGUGUUUGUUCUCAAGGAUAUCUCACCUGAAUUAAGCCGCCCAAAAAGACAUUUGACAUAAAAUGUAAAAGAGGUCUGAUCAGAGGUUGAGGAGAGGUUUGCUUGUGUCAUUUCCUCAUCCACAUUGAUCUUUACCAAGGAACUACCACAGUACAGUCAAGUAUUUUUCUGUGAAAAAUUUAAGCUAGCACCUCUUUGAUCCGCCAGUUCGCCUUGGUUUUGUGCAGUAACAGGUUUGACCCCAAUCCCAUAAAACAUCGGGAUGGGGCUCAUUUUUGCGGUUUCAUAUUUUCAAAGAAAAAGUUGUAAGAUUCUUAUAAAAGUUUAUAUUUUUGUAGAUUUAACUAGAAUAAUAUAUCACAACAUGGCAAACAAAAUAAGGCGGUUGUAAUCUAA